rnacentral:lncRNA from 1 species
GCCAUCUUCGGAUUUCGACGUAAUGGAAGAGGAUAAACUCGAUUACAAACAGAGUUGACGACGAGGCGAAGUACUCUGCCUUUCCAGCGUCGUACCAUUGAGGGGCGUUGAUGAUUCCAAUCUUCGUGAAAACCUCCGGUAGAAGCAUUCCGGCGACACCAAGCAUCGCCCACCGCCCAUUCACCAGCUCCGCUUGUACAUACCACCUCAAAUUCUCUGGGUCUUCCGCUAAUCCCAACGGGUCAAAUCCAUUGUCGCCGGGAAGACUGAAUUUCGAUUAAUCAAUUGGAUUAGAGAAAACCCAAAUUUACAAAUUCCCAAAGUAAAUUAGGGAGGUGAAAAUUACCUGCCGUUUAAAUACAUCGGAGAUGGGAGACCAGGCAACCAUUCUCCUUUCUUGGCUUCAACCUUGAAAGAUGAAGACGAAGAAGCAGAAACUGGCUUAACCGAGAGCACACGUUGGAGUUUACCGGAAGAACCGGAAAGGAAUCUUGAUCGGGCGGCACAUG